rnacentral:sRNA from 1 species
UGGUGGUGAUGAUGAAGACAUCUCAUCAACAUGUUUAUUCACCUAAUUCUUCUUAUUCCUCUUCGUCUAUUUCGGUUUCUAUUUCCGGAUCUAGCAGCUCUAAGAAUUUUCGAAGCUCUUUUUCUGUCUUCGAAAACUAAGAUCUACGUACUAAUGUUGUAUUUUUUAAUGAUCGGGUCGAUAUUUUUGUAUGCACCCGUUUAUAUUAUAUAGUUCAGACCUUUUUAUUUUUAUUUAAAAGGUCUGAUUAAUAAUACAUGUUAUACACUUAUACCUUUUGGUUAUCGUUUGUAAUUUUCGAUCGAAACCCCGUUUUAAUAAGGAUGUGUAGUUUUGAAGAUACUUAGUUCGAAAUAGUAAAAAUGGAAUGUUU